rnacentral:misc_RNA from 1 species
AACAACAACAGCAUUGAAGCUAUCAACGAAAACAA